CAGCAGCCGCGGUAAUACAGAGGGUGCGAGCGUUAAUCGGAUUUACUGGGCGUAAAGCGUGCGUAGGCGGCUUUUUAAGUCGGAUGUGAAAUCCCCGAGCUUAACUUGGGAAUUGCAUUCGAUACUGGGAAGCUAGAGUAUGGGAGAGGAUGGUAGAAUUCCAGGUGUAGCGGUGAAAUGCGUAGAGAUCUGGAGGAAUACCGAUGGCGAAGGCAGCCAUCUGGCCUAAUACUGACGCUGAGGUACGAAAGCAUGGGGAGCAAACAGGAUUAGAUACCCGGGUAGUCCCUGUCUCUUAUAC
rnacentral:rRNA from 1 species